rnacentral:lncRNA from 1 species
GAAGAUUCAAAGAAAAGAAAGCAACAGUGACCAAGAGAGAAAGAGAGAGAACCGUGAUUUUUGUUGAUUUUCCAGCCUCGAUUUUUUGCGAUCUGUAACUCCAAUAAAAAAUUUAAUCCGAUGAAAGUGUUUAUAUGUUCCUUCUUUACACGUUGGCGUUAUUUUUGUCCGGUAGAAGUUGACGGUGACGUAGCUCCUCUUUCUCUUGAGUUCGGUCAAUUAGAGUUCUAGGAGGCAUAGGCAAUUUCUGACAUUUUCUUUUCCAGCAGUUUGGUCAGAAAACUUCUCCGAAGCUUCCGUUAUUUUGAUUUCGUACGGAGGUAGGAAAUUUUAUUUUAAAAUUAAUUGUUUUAAUUUAUGAAUGCCAUUGAAGUUUAGUUAAUAAGUGCAAAUAAUUUAUAAAUGUCUCGUGUCACUAGUUUUGUUGUUGUGAGUGGUUAAUUGAUGAAAUUGAAUUGCGACUGGUUGAAUUGAGGCUGUGAUUGAUGUUGGUUUUCUGAUUUUGAUGGAAUUGUUUAAAGUUCUGAUUUAUGAGAUUAUGCGGAAUUGGUUGGUUGUGGCUGAAAAUUCUGAUUAUUGAGUUGAAAAGUCGGUUUGAUUGAAUACUAUGUAAAAUGAUUUUCUUUUUUUAAUCUGGGGUUACUUUGAUAUUGAAAAUAAAUCUGCAUUUGAAAUGAUUUGAGAUAAUGGGAAUGAGUUUUAUUGAUUUAUCAAAAAUGAUUCUUUUAGUCUUUUGAAAGAGGUUUAAAUCUGAAAUGGUUUUGAAGUUGGUUUGGGAAAAUCAUGGUUAAGUAAGAACUGGUUUUUGUAUGAAAGAAGAACUUCUUGUAAAUAAAGUAGUUUCGGAGGUUUAGAAAAGGUUAUAAAGAGUGAUAUUGGUUUUAAAUAAAAAACAAUUUGAGUUCAGUUUAUUAAGAAAAGGAAUCUCUGCCACAGGAGAGAAGAGAACAAAGAUCAAAAGAAUGUAUUAAUUAAAGAGAUUGUCUACCACAGGAAAGCAGAUGUGACAUUGUUUGGGCCUUAGUGCCAAAUUUAACGUGGGGACGCCAACACACUGAGAACUGUUUCCAGAUGUAUGCUUAUUGAUUUGGAAAGUCACACUGUAUGCGGCCUAGCUGUACGACUUAAAGUCACACUGUAUGCGGCCUAGCCGUACGACUUAUAAGCACACUAUAUGCAUCUGGAAAGCCAUAUCUGGGACUUGUGCCCGGGUAAUGUCGGGAGCGGGUAGGCAACCGACACAUGAGCUCAUGGCCUGCACUAGGGAUAGAUAUGCAUCAUGUUAUUUGCACAUUUGCAUUUGGUUGUAUUUGCUUGUAUUACUUUUCUGUGAUUGUGCUGUUUGACUUGUUUAUAUGUUGGUUUGGACCUCUUACUUGUGCUAUUAGUUUACGAAUGUGUUGAGGUAUUUAAGAAUUGAUGUUGUGAUUGUUGAGGAUUAAUUAUGUGACUGAGAGAUGGGUAAUGUGACCAGUUUUAUAUUUAAAAUUUGAUUUGAGUUUAGAGAUUUCAAAAGAGGUAAUUAGUUAGUUAAAGUAAAACCAAAAGUAUUUUCAAAAAGGUUUGAUAGAAAUAUAGUUUUCUUAAGUAAAGUUAAUUAUUUGUAUUUUAUUUCACUACUUUUACGGUAUUUCCAUUCCCUACUGAGAAUGUGUGGUUUGUUCUCACCCCAAAGUCUCCCCUCUUUCAGUGACACAGAUUCGAAGACUCAGUUUGAAGCUGCGGGCGAUUAUUAGUCUUAUUUGAGUUAAGUUUAUGCGUUGAGUUGCUUUCAUAGAAUUCCCU